rnacentral:lncRNA from 1 species
AUUAAAAAUACUAUUUUACUCUUAAUCUUGACUCACUGUUUCACAGCCAUAAAGCUUUCCCCCCUUGAUUAACCGAGCCAAAUUCCUUUCAUCAUAACGGAUUUCAAAGAUGAUGCCACUGUUAAAACAUAUAUAUUAUGUAUGUAUGAAGAUAAAUAUCCCACUGUUUAAACUUGCGGAUAAAAGAACUCGAACGUCGGUUGUUAACUGAACAACUUUAGAAAAUAAUUUAAAGUUGGUAUUGGAAUAUGAAGAGUCGUUCUCUUGACGAUAAAAUGAAAUAUUAUAAUUUAUUCAAUUAUUUAUCUUUAACUAAUUCAAUUAUUUGCUCAUAUUUGUGAACGUUUGGUGAAAUAGAAUAUUUGUUCCUCGUCCCAUAUUUAUUUUUUAUUAUUGCAUUCAAUUAAUUAACUAUAAC